rnacentral:rRNA from 1 species
GACGAACGCUGGCGGCGUGCCUAAUACAUGCAAGUCGAGCGCAGGAAGCUGACGGAACUCUUCGGAGGGAAGGCAGUGGAAUGAGCGGCGGACGGGUGAGUAACACGUAAGGAACCUGCCUCAAGGAUUGGGAUAACUCCGAGAAAUCGGAGCUAAUACCGGAUAGUUCAACGGACCGCAUGGUCCGCUGAUGAAAGGCGCUCCGGCGUCACCUUGAGAUGGCCUUGCGGUGCAUUAGCCAGUUGGGGGGGGAACGGCCCACCAAGGCGACGAUGCAUAGCCGACCUGAGAGGGUGAUCGGCCACACUGGGACUGAGACACGGCCCAGACUCCUACGGGAGGCAGCAGUAGGGAAUCUUCCACAAUGGACGAAAGUCUGAUGGAGCAACGCCGCGUGAGUGAUGAAGGUUUUCGGAUCGUAAAACUCUGUUGUAAGGGAAGAACACGUACGAGAGGAAAUGCUCGUACCUUGACGGUACCUUACGAGAAAGCCACGGCUAACUACGUGCCAGCCGCCGCCGUAA